rnacentral:rRNA from 1 species
GCUCAUAGCAAUAUGGGAGCGGCGAACGGCGUAGUAAUUCAUAGGAACGUACCCUCAGGUCGGGGAUAGCUACGGGAAACUGUAGGUAAUACCCGAUGAUCUCUGCGGAACAAAGGUGUGAUUCCGCCUGAGGAGCGGCUUAUGCGAUAUUAGCUAGUUGGCGGGGUAAUGGCCUACCAAGGCUACGAUGUCUAGGGGGUGUGAGAGCAUGGCCCCCACGACCGGAACUGAGAUACUGUCCGGACACCUACGGGUGGCUGCAGUCGAGAAUCUUCCGCAAUGGACGAAAGUCUGACGAAGCGACGCCGCGUGCGGGAUGAAGGCCCUUGGGUUGUAAACCGCUGUCAGAGGGGACGAAAUCUUCGGAGGUCCUCCUCCGAAGUUGACAGAGCCUCAAAGGAAGCACGGGCUAAGUACGUGCCAGCAGCCGCGGUAACACGUACUGUGCGAACGUUAUUCGGAAUCACUGGGCUUAAAGGGUGCGUAGGCGGCAAUUCAAGUCAGGUGUGAAAUGCCUGAGCUCAACUGAGGCAUUGCGCUUGAAACUGAACUGCUAGAGUAUCCCAGGGGUGUGCGGAACUGCCAGUGGAGCGGUGAAAUGUGUUGAUAUUGGCAGGAACACCGGAGGCGAAAGCGGCACACUGGGGGAUAACUGACGCUGAGGCACGAAAGCCAGGGGAGCGAACGGGAUUAGAUACCCCGGUAGUCCUGGCCGUAAACGAUGAGCACUGGGCGGGAGGGGGUUUCCCUUUUCUGCCGUAGCGAAAGCGUUAAGUGCUCCGCCUGGGGAGUAUGGUCGCA